UCUGAAUGAUGAGUGCUUGGGUGAAACUGGAGAAAACUAGGGAAAUAUACACAAGGACAGCAAAAUCAAUCCUGUGGAAUCCAGCAGAGGUUUUCCACCGCUGUUGUAUUGAUGCUUUGAGUUACAUAAACUUAUUAACACGUAGUGGUAAGGGAAAUAACCAGUGAUGGAGCAUAAAAAGAAGUAAAUAUUGUAUUUUAAGACUGACUUAUGCAAUAGAAAUAGUGAAAAUUUAAGUUUGACAUCAAAGAACGCUAGUAUGUCUCAGAACAAAAUGGUUCCCUUUUUUUUUUGACUGGUAGAAUAUUAAAAGCUCUAUUUAUGGACAACUUUUUGCUUUGGUUUGAUUUUAUAUAACUGUCAACUACUUACGUAGCUAACUAUUUGAAAUGGAAAAUAUUUUAUACUGUUAUUCUCUUCCUAUUGUUUUGCAAAUAAUUUCAGCUAGGAUUUACUAAAUAUGAUGGACAGUUUAAGUACAUUAUUACUUAAAAUUUCUCUUUAGUCCUUAAUAUAAGUAUAAACUACCAGAGAAAAAAUGUUUAAAACCUAAAGUUUAUUUAGUAAAACAAAAAACAAAAAACAAAAAAACCCCAUCUAAUUAAUUGAUUAUUAAUUGGGACACAUCAAACGUGCUUUUUGCCAUACAGUGUCUUGCGGCUUGAGAUUAGGCUACACAGUAAUUUUAUUGAGUUUGCUUUGGUAUUGUAAUCACCCUGCAUUUUCCUUUCAUUUACUUUUAAUUAGGAAAAAACUAAGAAUUGUAUGUUCACAGAAAAAUCUUUGUAGAUAGAUGUCUGAUUGUGAAAUAUUACCAGGUUGGAAAUAAAGGUCAUUUUGUGGGAAACGGAUCAUGUCAACUAUUUCACUUACCUUAUGUAAUAAGUAAUUUACCUGUAAAUUCAUCCCCAUUUAAAAAAUUCCACUUCUGGAAUAUCUUACUUUAAUAGAUAAGCCUGAGCUCUUCAAAGAUGGCCCCUUCCACUGUUAGUCCAGGAUGGAGAUUCAAAGAAGUGCCUGAUGGCUCUGCCUGUGACAGAUCGGUGUUCAGGCACCAGGUCCAAGGCCAGUGAAUGUGCUCAUGGGAUUUGAUGUUUUGUGCGCUUAUGUUUCUGAGUCUUUCUUUAUAAGGCUGAUUUGGGGUUUGCGCUCCCCUCCGUACCCACUGAAAUUCCCCUGGAACCAGGCAUAACAGGGCAAAUGCUUUGCAGGUCCAUCUUUAAUGCGCUGAAACUUGAGCAGGUUAUUUUGAAACUGCGUUUGCAUAAUUUAAUCUGAGCAACCAUUCUUAUGUAGUUAUGAGGUGCUGUUUGCAUCAGCCAUCUUUGAGAAAAUGUAGCGGGGCGAGGCUGCCCUCAGCCGCAAAAUUGUCCGCCACUUGAUUUGAGUUUUGUGAGCCAGAGAUUUGGAUGAAAUUCUCCUCUAGUGGAUGGCAUGUUAAAUACAUUUUUUGGGGAGAACCUGUAUUUUUUUUUCCUAGUUGUUUGAGUAAGGCUAUUAUGUAAUUUGUAAGAGAAGUUUUGAUUGCUUUAAAAAUGAUCAGGAUAUCAAACUUCUUCAUGUUGCUUAGUGUUUAAGGAGUACAAGAAUUUUUUCACUUCUUAAUGUCUCUGUUUACUGAUUUUCCUUAAUGAUGGUUUUCCGUUUUGGAUAGAGUCGAUGACUUUGUUAAAAUAACAGUCCUGAUCCUAAUAAAAACCAAAAUCCCGCUCACCUAUGUUUUGCUUGGUCUCAAGAGAAUGAGGUAUUACGGUGAAUAAUGUGACUAAUUUUGGUCUUUAUUUUAUGGAAUCCAGUCUCGGCAUUUAUGAAGAUUAUGCCAGAAGUUAAUUACUGUGGAGUACCUUUGUCCUAUUCAGGUAUAUUUAGUUUUCUCAUUGUUGCACUGUUAGCUUCAGUCAAGAGGGAUCCGUGACCUCUUUGCUCUUGUUAACCCCUGAUUCCUGGCCAAUAUCGAAUUACCUAUAAUGGAUUAUCAGCCAUGUUUAGACACAUAUAACUAAUAUCUUGUAAGAUAUCGUUUUAAAGUACAUUCUUUAAGCUGGCCAAUGUGGAGAUAUUAUUGGGUAAAACAUAAAGCAUUAUGUAAGCCAUUUGGACAACAAGAAAUACAGAUAACACCCUAAGAGGACAUUUGGGAUGAGUUUAGGAAAUCAGAGUAAUUUGAGGGUUUAAAUACAUAUAUAUAUGUCUUCAUAUAAUCAGAAGUAAGGCAAUAGUGGUAUGUGUUGGCGAAUGUUUUACAAGGAUUUAUCUCCUCAUAUAUUCACAAUAUUUUAUUUCCAAAAAUAUUUUAUAUUGAAAUUUUGUGUUUUAUAAUCAGAUCGAACCCUUGAUUUAUACGAAGUUAUUUAUUAACCUUGAUGAACAUCAGAAAUUACAAUUUUAGGUUGUAAGUUUUAAAACUCUCCUCAGAAUGAAAACAGAGCCCUUUAGUUCUGUGGGCAAUAUUGGAGUCACUUGUCAGAGGCAGUUAGAAAGUGUGACGUUAAUCAUGGUGAAAAUUAACCAAAUAAGCGCACACAUCUUUUUUGAGGAGAGCACACAGGUGAUUUUCCUGAAUUAUUUGAUUUGCAGUGAAAUGCUCCUGGUUAAUGGAUGGUAUCAGGUGUAUUUAAUUUGUGAAUAGAUGAUUUAUUUUUUCCUUUCCAGAUUAUUUCGGUACGAGACGUAUAAAGAUCAACUGUGGAAAUAGAAAAAGUUUCAGUUUAGUAUUUGAUAGGGUCACAUGCAUGUGUUUGUGACUUACAAAGAUAUAAAUCCAGCCUUGCUCCCUAAAGUUUAUAGUCUAAUGCACAGCGUUAGGAUGCUGGCCGGCUGUUUUCAGAGCAAAGUGCUCCCCGAUUCAGUCUAGAAAAUGUUACAUGUAGUCAUUCUGAUUGCAGUUAAUUUUAUAGAUGUUUUACAUUUGGAAGGAUCUCCACAUAACUCUUAGAGAGUGCUACACAGGCAAGUUAUAUGUGAUGUCCACCCAUUUUGAUGAGUCUGCUGAUAGUUACACCCCGAAUCGGGGAGGAAAUAAGAAUUUGCCAAAACGAGACUUUACCUCAACUUAUACUUGGUGCUUUUCUAGAAAGAGGAUGGAAUUUCUCACAUCUGUGCCCGUUUCAAACGUCGGUUUGAGUCCAUUUUUAGGGGGAACAGGGAUACACUCAUAGAAGGAAUUUUGAAAAUUUUAAACACCAUCUUAAACAGCACGUAAGGCGGGCAUUCGGCAGGAGAAAACAUCUGAGAGGAUUAAGCAUUUAUCCACAACAGGGAAGGAUAGAGGGUGGGUUCGUUUCUUAGCAUUCUGAAAACUUUCUUGGCUUCACAAGAAAGCCUGUUAAGAUAAUUUUUUUAAAAAGAAAUUUUGCUUGAGAGUUUGUUGUGAUAAGUAUUUUUAGACAGUAUGGAUAGCCAUCUAGUUUUGAGUUUUUCUCAGGUUGCGAAAGAGAUCAGUAUUAUGAAAUAUAGUACAUUAUUCCCAUUAGUCACAGUAAAUGGCUAUACAUAUGGUGUACAUAGAGCUGUUCUAAUGCCCCUGCUCCAAGGACAAAAGAAGACAAGUUUUAUCACCCAUUUUAUUCUUCUGUCCUCUUACUCUUUUGCUACUGCCUUAGCAGUUUAUCAAAUUAAUAAUUUUAAAAGCCCAUAUCUGUCACUUGGAAUGUGGGUGUUGAUCUGUUGCCAUCUCUCUGUCUUUGCAUAUAGCUAUGGGGUGGGGGGAACCCACCAGGACUGACUCACAGUGAAAUGAUCCCCCAUUAUCCAGUUACUCUCUCUCUCUCUGAUUUAUUUUUCUUGCGGCUGUAGCUUCUUGACCCCAGUUAAACUAAUCUUUCUUCCCUGCCCACAACAGCUAAUCUUCAAGUAAACAAACCAAUAGAGCUCAGUUCAUAGCUUUGAUAAACAAGAAUCUACUAAAUGUAAGGAACUGAGGUCUCACCAAGGGAUAGAAUUAAAAUGGACUGGGCUAAACUUGGAAAGCAAGAAUGGAAGAAGCUUGAGAUAGUGGAGUUAAAACUCUGAAGACCAAUUCAGAGGCAGGGCUCCCCCUCCCUCAUCCUCCCUCGUCUCCUCCAUCAGGCAAAAGCUUGAAGGGGUCUCCUGUGCCACAAAAUCCCACUUAAUCUGAUUUUUAUUUCUUGCCACAGUAAUUAUCUUGUUUGGGAUGGUCUGAUACGAUUUUCUGUAUUUUAACAGGGAAAGUUGCUGUGGAUCCACAGCUGGUGUGACUGGUAGCUGUUUUUAGAAUAGUGCAUUGAAAAGUUUUGCAGAAAGUAAAUUGAUCUGUAUUCCAGAUUUAGGACAAAGAUGGUAAUUAGUGGCUUGCAGAAAGGAGCACAUGGCAAUUCCCUUUCUGGUUAUAAACCUGGCUGGGUCUUAGUGAUGUAUACGUUAUCUUCAUUUGCUUGUUCCCACCAGUGAGAAGACUGGGAAAUCCUGACUUUAAUUAAGAAGGCAUAUUUUUGAACCAGGAAUGUGAAUUUGGUUUCCAGCAACCAAGGGGGUGCUGGCGGCUGGCUGAUAUUUUGCCUGGCUCAAUGGGUGGUCACUGCUUAAUUCCACCCAACUAAGGUUUCAGUCUUUGACAUUUACAAGACAGCAAGUUUGGGGUGUCUUGGAUUUAAUGCAUAUAUCCAUCUAAUAUGAUAAAGUCUUUACAGUGGCAGAAGUUGCAGCCAAGUUAAUUGAUCCUCCCCUUUCCUGCAAUUCUUGCUAGAUUUUAUGAGAUAAAUAAGUCCCCUGAUGGUUUACAAGGGAACUUUUCCAGCUUGAUGACAGCAGCUCUGUCAGGGGGAUGGUCCAUAUUGAUGUGAAUGUACUUAAUGAGCAAAAAGGGAGCCAUUUAGUAAGUUGUAUGAGGAUGUGUUAAUAAUUUGCAGCUCAGCUCGCCAAAUAAAUCUCUCCGUGUGUUCAGAAACAAAAGGCUGGGGGUCAUGCCUGCAUUUGGGGGUGGUUGUCACCCCAUGAAGAUAGUUUUCACGCCACUUUUUCCUCCUUUAAUGUGGGUAUUUGCUUUAGGGAUGCACCAGGGCCAUUUGCUGCCGCCCUUUCCCUGCACCUGCUUUCUCUCGAUCACAGUAAUGACCCCUUCAGUUUUCAUUUGCCACUUCCACUCUGACCUGAACCUGGAAACCUCCAUUCACGACCGUCUGAACAUCUUAAAUACUUUCUGGUUUUGCAACUUGUCUGUAGACUGUCUUCCAGAUAUGGGUUUGUCUCUUAUUAGACCUGCCCUUAAACCUGACCUCCAGUAUCAGGAUGCUGGAGUAGACAAGGUAAUAUAUAAAGACAUGAAUUUCACUGUUACUUCUUUUGCUUUGUUUUGAAGACAUUAUUGAGUAGAAUCUUUCCAGUGUUGUCAAGUGUAAAAUGAGCAUCUUUGCCUCCAAUUAAUUAUUGGGUUUCUGACAAAGAGGGUCAGAGAGAAGAAGGAAACUUUGGAUUGGGAGCGGGUGACCUGGACAAGCCAAUUAACCCUCCUAAUCCAGCUUCUCCAGGGACUGGAAGUGAUCAAUGUCAGUUCCUUCCAAGAAUAAAGUUACGUGAAUCCCCAGGAAUAUUGCUGAGUGGUCAUUUUGCUGGAAGGCCUCUGCUUUCCUUUUGACAUCUGAUGGAGAAUAUAUCCCCUGUCAGUUCCGUUUUAGUCAUGGGCAUAAAUACCUGUUUGUGAGAUUCAUCACUCACACAAGCGACCAUAACCACAAGGAGAAUGAAAUGUCUUCUCCGACAUUUGCAAAGUGCAUUUGGAUCAGUGACAUAAUUUUAAGACAGACACGUACAUACUGAUAUUAGUGAAAAGGAGGGUGUUUCCUGCUGUUAUUAUUAUAAACUUAAAAAAAUAAAAACAAUUAUUUUGGAAUGUUAAUUAUUUGGAAGGUUAAAGUGAAUACUUGAGUUUGCAAAAAGAGCACUGUUCUUGUUUCAGGAGACAGAUCCAGUAAUGUGCAUGUGUUGAAAGUCAAUUGUCUUCAAUGCAAGCAGGUGGGAGCAUGUUUGAUGAUGUUACUGUUUUUAGAGGCAGAAAACUUAAGCACAUAAGCAUAGCCGUGACAGAAGUUUCUGGGAGCGGCUGGCUGCCGGGACUCCGACUCCUAAAUGGUUCCCCGCAUUCUCGUUGGCCCCAGCGUGGGCUGCAGACUUGCCCAGAGCUCGCUGCUGAAAAACGCUUUGCAGAGAAACCAUCGUUCUCCAGCCUGGGCCUCAGGUUUCCGUGUGGGCUCCUUGACUCAGAGAGACCAAAUAUUGUUUCCAGAGCCUUUCUAGGACCGGGUCUCCCCGAGCCUGGUGUCCUCCUGGACGAGCAGGAUCACUGAUAGCGGAGAGUUUUGGAGAGCCUGUAUUUGAUACUUGAAGAGAUAACUUUUUGUAUAAAGCGGGAAGUGGGUUGUGUGAUUCAAUCUUGAUUAGAGACUUUCGUUUAUUUACAUAAAGAGGAUGAACAGAAGGAUAUUUAUGGCCGCAUUGUCUAAAAGAUCAAAAAAUUAAAAACCACCUAGGUGUUUCUUGAUGAGAAAAUAAAUCAUGUGCUGUGCAUGUUAUAAUAGAAUGUACCAUUCAGCCAUUAGAAUGAUGCCAUCAUUCUGGAGUUCCUGUCGUGGCUCAGUGGAAACAAAUCCAACUAGGAACCAUGAGGUUGUGCGUUAGAUCCCUAACCUCGAUCAGUGGGUUAAAGACCCAGGGUUACUGUGAGCUGUGGUGUAGGUGGCAGACGAUGCUGGAAUCUCUAGUUGCUGUGGAUUUGGCUGUGGCCGGCAGCUAUAGCUCCAAUUGGACCUCUAGCCUGGGAAUCUCCAUAAGCCAC
rnacentral:lncRNA from 1 species